GGCAAAACUAUUUGAUUUAUCAAGUAAAACACACACCAAGAUAAAAAGAAAAAUGAAGUAAAACUUUGUUGACUCUCUCAUGAAAACAUCACAUACAGGCAUUGAAAAUAACCCCUCUUGUAUAUAUAUAUAUAUGUUUGACCUCUGCACCUGAUUCAGGCCAGAAAGCCGACUCUCGAUGUUGUAUUGCAAACUCACACGAAAAUGAAAGCUUUUAUGGAAGGAACUCAUGCUUUUCCAUUUUCAAUCACCCCUUUAAUCUUCUCAUGAUCUUCCAUGUGGCUGAAGUUACCUCGUUGCUUGAAGAGUUGCGUAUGAUGGUGCCUACAAUAGAGUUUAUGAUCAUGUGCCACAUAAUUCGAUGGACUGAUUACACAACCCCCGUGGCUACAUUUGAAACAAGGCCUGUGGUACGAAGUGCCAUCAACAGCUACCUUUUCCAGGGGGUAGACGGUUUUCUUGCACGCAACACAUUUAUCUUGAGUUCCACCAAACAAAGCUGAAACUUUGUUGUUUGCUUGUGCCUUAUCAAGAGAUCUUUCCUUGACUGUUCUUGGACCCCCUUCAAAACUCUUGUUCAGGCUUCCAGUCAUUUUAAAUAGUUGAUCAAAGUGAGGUCUGCAGUAUAAGACUCCUUCAUAGGAAUUGUAGUUACCUAGCUUAAGAGUACCCUUGCAAUGAUUGCAUCUGAAACAAGCCUUGUGAUAGACUCUGCUGUCAGCCUUAAGUUGAUCCACCAAGUAGACAGUUUUCUCACAGGCCUUACACUUCUGUGUUGUCCCUCCAAAAGUUGCCAUUCCUUUUUCUUUUUCUGCAGAUAGAUCGAUCGAUCGAUUCAAUAAAGAAUAAACAGAUGCAAACAGUCUCUAAUUAAGUCUUUGAAGUUGAAAAUUUGGGUAAUUUAGAGGUCAGAGAAGAAGUGCGGGCGUGUUGAAGUA
rnacentral:misc_RNA from 1 species